GUUUAACUCCAAGAAUUGAAUUAUUUCAUUGUAUUUUAUAAGUAUUUAAAUGUUAGUUCAUUAAGAUCAAAUUAAAUAAAAUUUAAUUUGUCAUUUCAUCGUCAACAUUAUCUACAGUAAGACAAUAAUGUCUCUCUCUGUGUGCUAUAUGGUGUGUUCCAGGAAAUAGGCAUCCAAUCUAAAAAAGCUAAACUGUAAACGAAAAGCUCUUUAUUUAAGCUUUCAACUUUUAACCGAUUCACUACAAUCAAGUGGAAAACAAAACAUCAAUAACAAUUCGUUUUCCAAUUGCAUAAUAUCUUUGAGUAAUAUUUUUCUUCAUACCAGAACAACUCAAAGUAAUCAUUUCCAGGGUUACCCUGUCAAACCUGUCAAAAUUGGUUUUAUAAUGGUAAAGUUAUCAAGUAAAGGCAUAAAAAAAGAUGAUUGAUUACUUGGAUGGUCAACUGUAUAUAUAAAGACUUACAUAAAAAGAAGCAUUAGAGGAAGUUCAUCAAAGGCCAAUACAAAUUCAAGUGUUGAAGGUACUUCAUUAACCUGAAAGUUUUACACGAAAAAAAACCUACUUGUUUGCUGUCAGAGUUUUGGGUGAUGUAUUCAUUUUGGCCUUAAGACUUUUUUAUCUGGAUUGCUAUCUGGAAAUCCAUUUUCGUCUACAUAACCACAGAGAUUAACUUGGUUGGAUCAAAGAGCGAAAGUAUUAUUAUUAUGAUUAUUAUUGACUAAUCAUUUCGACACAUUCACUUGUUCAUCAAGGAUUAAAUGGUAAUGUAACUAAAUAUUAAAAAAGAUCUACAGCUUUAAGGUAUAUACAAAUUAUUAAAGGCAGCUACAUACACACACACACAUAUAUAGAUGUACAGAGACUAAAAUGGCAGCAAAUGGAUCCACGUUUAACCAGAUUGUCGAAACAAAUUAAGACUAAUGAUAGUCUAAUUAGUUAAUAAUUCGCUAAUGGAAAAGCUGAUUCUUCAGUUGAGCUUGCAGUUAUCAACAAUAUUAAUAUACAUCAAGACUUGAAGCAAAAGGGUUACUCUUUUGUUGUGUGUUGGAUUGUAAGGAUAAAAGAGUCCAAAAUGCAAAAAGAUGGAAAGUGAAUGAAACAAGAACAUGUAAUGUUUAAAUAGCUCUCUUGGGUCAUAUUUUUUCAAAAGAGUAACUAACAUUUACUCAAUUUUGCCUUCUUAACAGCGUUUUUAGCUACAUUGUUAUUGAAAAACAAAGCGCAAAAAUUGUUUCCUUCAACAUUGUUGAUUGUUUUUUUGCUGCUGCUUCUGCUGCUCACCUGUUUCAUUCAAAAUUCACAUUCACAAUUCAACCUAAGCUACCAGUUAUUAACAGUUAAUAGUAUUUAUUUCAUUUACUAUUACAUUAUUACCAUCCUUUGAAUCUUUUUCCGUCAUUAUUACAACUUUUCAUCUCAUAAUUUUCCACUUUCUCUCUUCAUUCUCAUCUAAAUUAUUAAUUUCAUUUCAUUUUUCAUUUACAUUUUCUUCUAGAUUCUGGCUACAUCAAUGCAAGUUGAUCAAGUAAAAGCACGAUGUUGGAUUCCACUCCUUUACAAUACAACCCACACAAAGCUAAUUUAAAGUUUCAACACUCUCUAAUUAAAUCAAAUCAACUCAUUUCAAUCAUCUCUAACAAGUCAACAACAGCAGUAAUGGCCAAUAAACCUAAUGUUUCCCCAUCAAAAUCAACAUCUUUCAAUAUAAUGAAUUUCAUUGUUUUUUUGUUUCUUCAAGACUGGAAACUCUGUACAACUGAUCAUCAUCAUCUUCAACAUUAUCCUUUUGCUUUUCUACUUUUGUAUUUUUCAACAUCAACCUCUACAUUACAAGCAAUAAUGAUAACUUUCAAGGAAAACUUCAGUCUAUAAACCAAUCAUCUGAUCAUCAUUAAAUUGUCCCUUUCAAGAAUCAAACUAAAAUUACUCUAAUCAUAUGUUACAUUACCACAUACACACGAUUGUCCACCAUGAAGCAAUUAAGAUUGAACCACAAGAAAAGGGUUACCUUUAUUUUCCCUCUCAAUGCAUUUGUUAAAUUGGAAACGAGUCGAUUCCUUCAUUGAUCCAUCAAAACUCACCGAGGACAACAUUAAAAUCAUCAAUCAUCUAAUUAAAGGAUAAAUAAACGAGGUAACAAUCGGUAAACCAAAUGCAAUCAAGUAAACAUUGCCUAUUUAAAACCUUAAUUGUAACUUUCAUCUAAUUUGACUUUUUCUUCCUCAUUUGCCUUCUAAAUAUUCAUCUUUUGAUUUCCAGUUUUAACCUUUCCAGAAAUUCAGACAAUGAUAGAAACACUAAUUUGUUUCAUUUUAACCCAACUGAUCAUUUUACAUCAUUCUUUGUAUGAUUUACUAAUUGAGUUCUCUAUUUGUUUUCACAGGAUGAUGAUUAAUUUGGGUUCCAUGGUUAUAUACGUUCAUCAUUCAUCACUUGAGACUGCAAAUUAAUGUCUUGUAAUUUCAUUGGUUUCGUCUGGUUCUUAUUGGGAAUCCAUUGAAAGCUUGUUUUCCUUUCCUUUUCCAACAAAAAUAUGAUUAUGAUCAAUAAUGAUUUCAACUGAUGAUGGAUUUUGAAAAAUGAAGUUAAGCCUAAAUAUCGAGACUUAUUUAUCAUCAAAAUAACCAAGCAAACUGAACCAAUGGCUUAUCAAAGCUGGCUUUUUUUCAUGGCGAUACAAGGAAAAAA